rnacentral:rRNA from 1 species
UAAGCAUAUCAAUAAGCGGAGGAAAAGAAACCAACAGGGAUUGCCUCAGUAACGGCGAGUGAAGCGGCAAGAGCUCAAAUUUGAAAGCUGGCCCCCUCGGGGUCCGCAUUGUAAUUUGCAGAGGAUGCUUCGGGAGUGGCCCCCAUCUAAGUGCUCUGGAACGGGCCGUCAUAGAGGGUGAGAAUCCCGUAUGGGAUGGGGUGUCCGCGACCAUGUGAAGCUCCUUCAACGAGUCGAGUUGUUUGGGAAUGCAGCUCUAAAUGGGUGGUAAAUUUCAUCUAAAGCUAAAUAUUGGCCGGAGACCGAUAGCGCACAAGUAGAGUGAUCGAAAGAUGAAAAGCACUUUGAAAAGAGAGUUAAAAAGCACGUGAAAUUGUUGAAAGGGAAGCGCUUGCGACCAGACUCGCCUACGGGGUUCAGCCGGUAUUCGUACCGGUGUACUUCCCCGUGGGCGGGCCAGCGUCGGUUUGGGCGGCCGGUCAAAGGCCCUCGGAAUGUAACGCCUCUCGGGGCGCCUUAUAGCCGAGGGUGCCAUGCGGCCAGCCCAGACCGAGGAACGCGCUUCGGCACGGACGCUGGCAUAAUGGUCGUAAGCGACCCGUCU